AUGAAACUUAUAUUCGUGUAUUGCAAAAUAAACUUAUAAACUAUAAAUUAAGCUAAUCAUUUAAAAUUUAUUGAUUUAAUAAGAUCUAAAAUUGAAUUAAGUUAGAUUGAGCUCCACCUCCAAUAUCUGUCUAAAUAAUUAUAUAAUUACAUAAAUUCAUAUUUAUACAUACAUCAUAAUUAUCAUUUUACCUCGGUAAGGAAAUUUUCGAUGAAUUUCUAAAAAAAUAAUCAUCUCAAUCUCUAAUUUACGUCUGUUUUGAUACUUCAUGUUUCAACAUUUCAAAAAAUAUGGUAAAAUGACGAAACGGUACAUUUCCUAUCGCGCGGGUUUACAAGUUUCGCAUAAAAUGUAAUCGCACUUUUAUUUAACGAUAUAAGAGCCCUGUUGAUAAGGCUCACGGCAGAAUUCUAUUCCACACUGUAAACAUGCAUGCGAAUAUUUGCCUUAGUUAUUUGUAAUAAGAAUCAUUUUGCUAAACACUUUCCGAAAGGUCGAAAGUUUUGUCACGCUUUUGUGACAUUAUAUUCUAAUUGGAUAAUGUAAUAAGUAGUAAUAACAACCUUUGUGGUGACCUCAUUUAACAAUUUCCAUUCAAACAGCGCGGAAAUAUGCGAGUAAUUCAUGCGUAUUUAGGGUUGCCAUACGUCCGGAUUUUUGACCAUUUGUCCAGAUUGUGACCGGACUUGGCAUGUGUCCGGAUUUUUAGGAAUGGCCUUAUAAAAAUAAAAUGCGCGCCCGGGGAGGGGGCUACGGGAUCGGGCGAAGGGAAAGGGAAAAGUAUAUCCACGAUACAGUACACCACAGAGAGCAGCGCGCCGCAUGGGCGUCGUUCAAGCUACGCCAAAUCUCUGCUACAAGAAAUGUCCGGAUUUUUAGGGUGAUGUCCGGAUUUUUAUCAGGACAUUUAAUUCUUCCAUAUGGCAACCCUAUACGUAUUCAUCAUUCGUCUGUUACUCUUAACUUACUGAUUAUGAUAUUCAUAGGUCCGGUUGCAUCAACCACACUUGACGUACUGAUCAACAUUAAUUAGCCGUGAACUAACUUCUCAUACAACAAUUUCGCCAACGUUUUUACGGUGACAUAUGGUUUGGUGCAACUGACCCUUAGUGAAUCUUAUUUAUUGGUGCAAUUAAAGAUGCAAAGAGGAUGUAGAGAUUGAAAUCACAUGAAUAUAAAUACAGUAACAUUAAAAAAAUAUAUAUCUCGCACGUUGUAUUUAGAAAGUUACGGCGCGAAAAAAAACUAAUCUUAGUUCAAAUUCAACCGCGGACAAUGUAUGCCUUUGUCAUUCUUUGUUUAUUAUUUUUCUAUAUGUUUUUAUAUAUACAUAUAUUUCAUUUACAUUAAUUUAAAAUGCACUUUUUAACUGAAACGGUUGACCGCUUCAGUUAAAUAGUGUUAGUAAUACUUAAUGUUUAAGUAGUUAUAUAGAUUUGUGUUUAAUAUUUUCAAUUCCAUUUCAAUAUUUUGUAGAGGAGUAAUUUUCUAUUUGUCUACUAUAAUUUUAGGGCACUGAGCUGAAAGGACUUUAAGUAAUUAUUAAUCAUAAUCCCUUAGCUCAGCCACCUAAUAUUUAUUGCUUACUCUAAAAUUUCAUUUAGCUACAACCUAAAAUACUAUAAGUCAAGUAUUCUAAUCAUAUGUAUUUGUUAUUGUACAAUGCACACAAUUAGCUGGCCAUUGUGCCGCUCCCAUACAAAUUAUGUAUGGUAUCAGGUCGAGAAGAGUUAUUUACGAUACAUUUUAAAAGCACUCCCUUCGGUCGUGUUUUAAAUCGACACGAGUUGCGAAUUACCUAUUCGCACGUAUCGUACAUACAUAUGGCCCUUUCAAUUUUCGACGUAGUUACGUAAUGUGCUUAUUAUAGCACCUGGUGUCGUAAUGUAGCACCAGAUGUACUGUAAAAUGCAUUUCGAUAUUUGCUAUAAUAUAUCUUGGUACCUGACAAUUUAGGGUUUCCUUAAGUCCAUUAGAAUAAGAUCUAAUUUUAAUUUGUUUGUGUCUUAAUUACACUUUAGUUCGUUUUUUAGCAUUAGAAAGAAGCACAAAGAAGGUAAGCGAUUUUGACAUGUCUUUCAAUUGAAAAACGCUUUUAAAAAAUCAGUAACUAUUACUUAUGAAAUCAGAAGAAUAUAAAUGAUCGUGUUAGAUUCAUAAUUGUUACAUAUUUGCCGUGACUUUUUAAAACGUGUUUUUCAAUUAAAAGACACAUCAAGAUUGUUUACCUUUUUUCUAAUGCGAAAAAAACUAACUAUAAAGACCAUUUACUUAUAGAGUCAGACCAAGCGAACUCUGCACAGAUUUCGCAAUGACAAAUUGUAGCAGUGCCGUUAUAGACGUCAAAGUAUGGAAAUAUGACGUAAACAACACCGCUACACUUUUGCUGUGCCAAAUUCGGUUCAAAGUUAGCUCAGACGGACUAGCAUCACAUAAAUAUAUUCAUUGGCUUCAUUCACAAUUAGCUGACCUCAACUUACCCUCCCGAGACCCAGAAGCGAUUGUUUUGUUUUUGGAAUGUGUCCAAAAAAUUGUACGCAGGGACUCAGGAGGUUAAGAGCCCUUCAACGUGCACACUAGCGCCACUGCUAAAUAAUCGUGAUUAUUUAAAUUUAACGACAGGUAUUUAAAAAUGGGGGCCGCUACGGACUGUAUUGUGUAUUUAAGUACCUUCUGAAUACAUCAAACUAGUUUUUAUGUUGCUGGAUUCGUCGAUCUAGGAACUCAAAACAAAAACGGCCGUUUUUACUUUGGAGGCAUAGAUUGACAAAUCCAGCAACAUAAAAACUAGUUUGAUGUAUUCAAAAGGUACUUAAAUACACAAUACAGUCCGUAGCGGCCCCCAUUUUUAAAUACCUGUCGUUAAAUUUAAAUAAUCACGAUUAUUUAGCAGUGGCGCUAGUGUGCACGUUGAUGGGCUCUUAAGAGCCACCAUAUUAGCGUCUCCCAAGCCUCGGCAUCUAGUCCACUCUAUGGCAGCUGCUCGACGCAACGCUGGCGCAACUGCGACGUCAUUUUCCAUAGCGCUGAUUAGACGCUGACGCUCAAAAGACGCUAGUGUGGCGUGGCCCUUAAUGCAAUGUUUUACCAAUGGGGAGUUAAAAACGUACUUGCUUUUGGUGCAUUUAUAAUUCUGUUUUUUUUUUAUUAAGUAUAUGAUCAUGAAACGAUACAUCGAAUGUAAAGUGUAGGAUGUAUGCAACAUGGAUACUAUUUCAUUUACUACGUGUCAAAAA